rnacentral:lncRNA from 12 species
AUGCAAGAUGAAGGUGACUCACAAACCCUUUCGGCUUGUGUCUGGACUGCCCCAGCGAGGAGAGGAUUGCUCAGCUCCAGGAGACACAGACCCCUGCAGGGGGCGGCUCGGCGCCCCCCUGGGACGGCAUGUUCCUGCACAGCGCACUCUCCGGGGUGGGGAGGCUCGGUAUGGGGCUCUGGUACAACGAGCAACAGCCCCAAGCACCACCCACAGUCACUCAGCAGGAACGAGAGCUGUGGGUGCCCCAUCGGGGUCCUCUCCCGGGACCGUGAACAGCUGACAGAUUGUAGGAAAUCUCCACACCCACCGUGGGGCUCGAGCUCACCACCCCGAGUUCGAGUCGCAGGGUCUUCUGACGGAGCCAGUGGGCGCCCCUGCUUGUAAGGCUUUUGAUUUCAAAGCGGGAGGCAGAGCAGACGUGGCCUGACUCGCCUGGACCUGAGCAGCCCCCGACCAGCAUCUCCGCCCCCCCAUCCGCUCCUCUCCUGC